rnacentral:rRNA from 1 species
GGUGAACGCUGGCGGCGUGCUUAAGACAUGCAAGUCGAACGGGCUCUUCGGAGCCAGUGGCGCACGGGUGAGUAACGCGUAACUGACCUACCCCAAAGUCGCGGAUAACGAUUCGAAAGAAUCGCUAAUACGUGAUGUGCUGUCAGAUCCUGUUCUGCCAGUAAAGAUUUAUUGCUUUGGGAUGGGGUUGCGUUCCACCAGCUAGUUGGUGGGGUAAAGGCCCACUAAGGCGACGACGGAUCGCCGGCCUGAGAGGGUGGCCGGCCACAGGGGCACUGAGACACGGGUCCCACUCCUACGGGAGGCAGCAGUUAGGAAUCUUCCACAAUGGGCGAAAGCCUGAUGGAGCGACGCCGCGUGAGGGAUGAAGGUCGUCGGAUCGUAAACCUCUGAAUCAGGGACGAAAGACGCGAAAGCGGGAUGACGGUACCUGAGUAAUAGCACCGGCUAACUCCGUG